AUGGAGGUCACGACCGAGAUAGGGCCGCACUUGGCCGGCAACAGACUAUGCGCACGGCGGGAGGUGGCCAAUUUUCACUGCUGGCUAACCUAUCCGGCUCGCCCCAUGGAGGUGGACAGCCAUUGGGAGGUCACGGUCGUUGCGAGAGGUUGGGUGGAGGCACAGCAGGGCUUCAACGUUCUUGCCUCUGGACGGCCCGGACGAUCAUCCGUGGCUUUUAUGGUUCCGCUGCCUGGAGGCGUUCGUCACCGGGCGAGGUCGGCCUUGCUCCCAUUGCUGCUGUCCAUGGCGGCCGAGAUGGACAUGGCAAACUGCGGCUAUGUCGCAUCCUUGCCGCGGUGA
rnacentral:rRNA from 1 species